UUCCCAGGGUGCUCUCGGAUUUGUUGGGGUUGGCUUUUCUUUCCUGCUAUUACCUUGAAAGUUUUGACAAAAUUUUUCAGUGGGGAACUUGACUCGUGUCAAAAAGGCAUUUCCCAGCUUGAACUGCUCUGGGCCAGCCCUGCUCAGGGCUGCCUAUCCCAAUAGACGCUUCCUCACUUCUGCUACCUCGUGCUGCCGGGGAGAAAGACUGUGCGUGGGGUCAGCGGAGUGCACUGCCUUUUACCCCACAGAGCACUCAGCAAUAUCCCUAGCAGAGCACAGGGAUAUUCCCCCAGGAGGAAUCGAGCUGCUCACGCAUUUCACCACCUCCAACGCGAAGCAGGGCUGCAGCAGCUCUGCCAGCAGCUCACCAACACUUGCAAAGCUUCGGCGCUCCUCACCUGCUCUGUCUGCUCCUUAUCGAGAGCCCCAAAGUGGCUGCAGCCCGAAUGGAAUUGACAGCAACUGGCUCCAAGUGCUGCUGCCAAGAGAGCGGCGGUGGCAUAUGUUUGCUCUCAGAGCAAGGUUACAGCCUUGACUCAUUAGAAGUUCCUCUCCUCCUUUUGGGGCAUAUGUGGAAGUGCAGGGUGCCAAGCUGGCAGCGCAUGGGGGAGCAGGGAGGGCUCCGUGAGGUGCUGGUGUUUGCACUUCUGUCCAUGGUUGAUCUGCACUGAGAGCAGAUGCAGAUCUGGUGCAGUGCUGGGGUGCACGGCCCCGUGGGCAGCUCCCAGCACUCCUUCAGGGCACAGAUGUGAGUCUGGGUGCAGGUUGGCUCACAGGUCAGUGCCGCAGCAGUUGGAGCUGUGUGGGCGCUGCACGGAGCUGGGUUAUUCUGCGCACCCCUCAGUAAUGGCACGAUGGCUUUGCGGCAUCUGCAACCCAUAGUAAUGGCUCAUUGCUGAGCCAUAAGUGGUCGUACCGUCCUUGGGAUUUAUUGCAGGCCGAGGGAUUAAUAUCCUGAAAUAUACGGUCAUGAUGUUGAGGUUAAAUUAAGAUCUCAUUCAAAAGGAUUCUUUUUAUCAUAUUUAAUUUGUAACCCUUUUUUUCUGCAGCCAUUUUACAGCUCUUCCUCCCCCUCCCUUCGAUGUUCAGUGUCAUGUUUCCAGGAAGAAUCUUAUUUCAUGCAGACUAAUAGCAUUUUUCAGUACAACCUUUUACGGUUCUCCCCGUUCGAGUUUCUCCUGUCUCGGUUGCUCGUACACAACGAGGUCUUAAAUCCUCCCUUAGAAAAUAGAGACGUUGAUGCAAAAGCAACCAGAGCUGCUGGCAGAGCCCAAAUCCAUCCCUUCUCCUUCCCCACACCCCCUCCAAUCUGCUGUAACUAAAAGCCCUUUUACUUCAGAGCGGAGCACGUUGAUAGAACACAUGUCGGAUAAAUCCAACAGGACAUUUUUACACCGGGUGAUAAGUCUAUAAAGUGGAUCUGGUUCUGCGCUGGCCUCGCUUUGCCCUCCGUGGUAUCAUUAGAUGGACGGACAGAUGGACGGCUGUGCUCAGGGAUGCAGGAGGUGGCAAUCCUGUUUGCUGGGGACAUCUUGAGGCUGAUUGCGGAGGUCAGGACUCAACUGGAAAGACCGCAACGGGUUGCUGACUGGCAUCCACGGCCCAGAUAAGAUAAAAACAACUGAUGACAGCGGGGAAGUGAAACAGUCAUCUCAGCACUUGGAUUAAUGCCCAGCGAGAAGGAAGGGAAAAAAACGAGGAGGGCCGUAAGGGAGGGGAAGGGGGUGGAAUACGGAUGAGAAUAGAAACUCUGGAGAAAAGCUAUCAGGAGGCAGCAGAGCUGGGUGUUAAAUAUUUAUGAAUUAGCAGCUCUCGUCGUGCCCUGCCUGUGCCGUGUGGGUGCUGCGAGGGGAGGGAGACGAGGUGACCGUGCGGUCGUGGCUGUGCAGCAACAGCACCAUGCAGAACAAAUGCAGGUGAAGAGGAAAAGGGUAAAUGAGGCACCGCAGAAAUCGCUAUUCCAAAAAUUCUGCUGAAGAGCAGUGGGGUAAUUAAAUCAUAAUUGCUUCUUGCUCAGCUGGAGUGACAUUGUGAGUGGCUGAAGGUGGUGAGGAGAGGAAGGGGAAGUUUCGCCGCUGCUCCGCUUGCAAUGGGGCAGCCCCAAACCUGCUGGGCCCCAACCCCUCUGCCACCACCCUCUGCUCGGGGCUGGCUGCUGCCUCCUGCUGCAUCCCACUCUGUGCUGUGCUGGUACAGCCCAGGUGUGGGCAUCCCUGGUGCGAGGAGCUGAUGUGCCAAACCUGAGAGCUUUGGAGGAGCCAUUCCCAACUGUGAGACAAGCAGUCUGCAAAUCCUGUAAGCAUUUAAUUACACGGCAGUGUUGUGUAACGUUUAAGGGGCUGAUGUGACCUGACAGCACGAAGGACACUUGGGGCUCAAGUUUAAAAACAUGAACCUUCCCAGCACGCGGCUCCAGGGCAGGUUUUCUCUUCCCCACCAAACAGCUGCGUUGGGAUGAGACGCUCUUUUCAGCUCUGUGGAUGUUCUGAGUUCUGCUGGAGUUUCCUCUUUUUUUGUUCCAAAGUCACAAAACCACUUGGUGCAUUCCAAAGCAUUUUGGAAUGAGGUCCUCCUGCACAUGGGUGCAGCUGAGCAGCAGUUCAGUGGUGACUCAGAGAUGCUGGGACGCAGGGUGCAGAACAUCCCCAGGCUGUGGGCGCUGCGGGGGAUGCAGCUCUGCAGCCCCUUACCAACCAUCCCAUCCAUUCUGCUGGGAGCUUGAGCAAAACCCACCGUGUUGCUCCCGGUUUCAUGGAAAAGAGCAUCCCUGCUGUGGUGGGCUGGAGAAUAGCUGUGCAGGAGCCGCUCACGGGGAGUUCUGGCCUUUGGCACUGUGAGGGAAGGCUGAGCAGGUUAUGCUCCCAGCUGGGGUAAUUGUUUCUCCAGUAGCUGUAAGGUGAGUCACCAGGCGGUGCUGUGGAUGAGCAGUGAGCUGGGGAGCUGCCUGCUGCUGUAGGGCUGGGGAUACUGCAGUCUAUCUGACCUGGACACGUCCCUUGAGGAGCUUUGGGAGUGAUCCUAGCUGGAAAACUCGGGAAUAUAUAUAUAUAUUUUUUAUAAUUCUCUAAUAGGAAUCACCUGUUGCUCCUCCCCAUCCCUGUUACCAUGCAGAUGCGUCAUCCCUGCCUGGGAUCCCAGUGGACGCCAGUGGGAGUGCUGUGCCCACAGCUGAUCCUGGCACCGGCUGUAAGGCGAUGGGAGGAGGAAAAGAGCUCUGGCGACACAGACAAUAAAAAGUCUUUGCGUUCCACUGAAGUUUCUUGAGCAACUGGCAUUUGCCCAUAAAUGUACUUAAGCAGAAAAUCACCAGAAAAGUGCUAUAAUCUGACAGAUUUUUCACAGGCUUAAAUAUUCAUGAAUUAAAAGAAUUGGCAGAAUUUUCUACAUUAUUAGCUUUCAGCAUGGCUACGGGAGCAGUUGGUGCACUGGCUGCUCUUCAAAAACUAUUAAUCUAGUCUGUCAUCACAGCAGCCAUUUUUUAAUUAGCUACUUUGCUGAACGAUCUGGUGCAGCAGCGAGACUGGAACAUUUACGUGGUAUUAAAGUUUUAAAGGUGCCCCUUUCCAUUUUUGAGCAAAGUUCUGAAACACAGCAAUAGGGGAAGCGAGGCGGAGGCGGAUCGCUCCGCUCCAAUGGUUAACUGCUGCUUUUAUUUUGGAAAAUCACGGCUUGGAAUACAGAGCUGCUUCUACGAGGAGGAGAAAUUGCAUGAAAUAAAUUGGUUCUCU